UAGUUUGGACUUGGCAGUUAAUCAGUUGGGGAAUCUGGGGAAGAUACUUUGGGGAAGUCUUCCUGCCUUCAAGGACCAUCCUAUUAUCUGAGGGGAGCAAAUAAUUCUAUUUCAAGCCCACCAGGAAAGGUGAUUCCAUAGACAUAUGAAAUCAUAGGGCGUAAGAACAAAAAAGAAACCUAGAACAUAGAAUGUAAGAACUGGAAGGUAGGCAGCACACAAUAUGAAAAAGAAUAGAGAAUGUUAGAGGGGGAAGGUUCAUUAGAGAUCAUCUUAUAGAGGAGGAAACUAAGGCUCAGCAAAGUCGAGACUUGCUCAAAGAAAUGCAGGCACAAAAAGAAAAUCAAUCUAGUCUUCGUGAGGAACUUAUUCUAAUCUCUGGAUACUGUCUGCAACUGAACCUGGGGACUUUCUUUUCCCCUCAUCCUCCCCCAAACUACAAGCUUGAAAAAAGUGAAAUACCACUGAACAGAGGAAGAGGCAAGAAGGUUAAAUCAAGCAGGGCUUGUUUGCAGAGUGAUGGAGGUAAAAAAUAAUAAUAAUAAACAUUGUUUUAUAAUCUUUUGAGGUUUACAAAAUGCUUUAAACAACCCUGUGGGGUUGGUAGUACAAAUAUUAUUUUUCCCAUUUAACAGAUUAGACAACUGUGAGGUAAAAGAGGUGAAAUGAUCCCAGGGUUUCAGUGCCAGUUAAGUAUAAAGGCCUGAGUUGGGUUUACACAGAACCAAUUAGCAGGGAGUUUAGCUCUCUUGAGAAUGAAAGUUUUUUGCUUUGACAGCUGCCAGGAACCGCUCUGGAAGCUACCCAAAUAUGGCCCAAAGCCCACGCUAAAAGAUGCUUCCAUCACCUUGCAUCCCUCAAGCCUGAAAGAGCACUUUGGUGAUUUCUGGUCUCGUUCCAGGUACCAACAUCUUCCAAUGAGUAUGAUCCUUUGAUAAUACAUAUAUAAUCCAGAUCAAAUUGCUUACCAUCUCCGGGAGAGAGGAAGGAAAGUAGGGAAGGAGAAAAUUUGGAUCUUAUAAAUUUUGGAAAACAUUUUGAAAAUUGUUAUUACAUGUAAUUGGGAAAAUAAAAAAAUAUUUUAAAAAUGAUGCUCUAAGGGCAAACUUCCAGGAGGCUUAUCACCUCAAAGUGCCAAGUCAGUGGCCAUAUGAAGGGAAAGGUUUAUUAAGAAAUGUAUGAGUUAAAAUCAGAUUGGAAACAGUUCUGUCCAUAGAUAUUUUUCCCCAUUCCUCCUGCUAACUCCCUGUAUCCUACACAUACACUUAAAUCUGUCUGAAAUCUGUCUUAGCACAGAGCUUGGCACAUAGUUGGUGCUCAAUAAAUAAGAUUAAUCAAUUUAUUGCCUAGUUACAUCAUGCUUCUAUUUACUCUCCCAAUUUUUGCAGAUCUGGAAUCUGGUGAGUUGUCCAAGGUCAUAGAGAUAGAGAAAGAGCCAGGAUCAAAACUUAGGUUCUUUGACUUUGAGCCCAAAUACUCUUACCAUGCUGCCUUAAGGCAAGGUCUGGUUUAUAUGCUGCUUCUUCCAUGAGGCCUACCCAGAUUCCUCACAAAGAAUAGUGGGGAAAAUUUUGGGCAAGUAAGAAAAAAGCAAUUGAGGUGAGGGAUAAGAAGAUAGUCUCACUCUAGAAGAGGAAAUGGAAGAGUUCCAUUAAAGAAUAAUGCCAUAAGGGGCAGCUAGGUAGAUCAAUGGAUAGAAAGUCAGGCUUACAGACAGGAAGUCCUGGGUUCAAAUCUGGCCUCAGACACUUUCUAGUUGUGUGAUCCUGGGCAAGUCACUUAGCUCUAAUUGCCUAACUUGUGCCACUCUUCUGCCUUGGAACCAAUACUAUCUUCUCUAAACAAAUAUUGUAAUUCACAGGAUUGUAUCUUACCCUAGGAGGAGAUCAUGUGCCUUCCUGAAGGCAAUCAGGAUGUAGGGAACAAAGAUCAAACCAAAGGGUAGAUAAUCUGGCCUUAGAAGCAGUGAGAAUAAGGGAUCAAACUGGGCCUCAGGAUACAAAGCUAUCUUUACCAUUUAGCAUGGCUUCCUUCAUAAACUUAUAUUUUUAGGAAUGAAGUAUGGCAGAAAAAGAUUCUCCAAAAACAAAAAAUAAGAUAUAUACACACACACACAUAUAUAUAUCUUCAUGUAAGGGAAGCUGAAGCAAAAACUAGAAAUACAGUAAUACAGAAAUGGGAGACAGUGGAAAGUGCUUAAAUUUGCUACCCUAGAUACACAAUUUUUCCUAAGGGCCAUAAAUAAAAUAAAGAAGUUAAUUAUAGGUAAUAUAUUCCAUGAAUGGGAGUUCAGAAUAGACUAGUAAGGGACAGACGUUAGGAGAGCAAAAUAAAUGAAAACUUUGAUUUGUCCAAAAUCACAAAGAGAGUAGGACAAUAAAUCCCCACCAAAUCAUUAGCAUUUUUGUGUAACAAUAACAUCCAAGAAGAAAUGAUAAAAAGAGCUCCAUUAAGAAAAACCCAACAAUUAUAACAUGUAUGAUGACAGAGAAUUGAAGGGUAAUAAUACAGACACAAAACAUACCAAUGGUGAUGGCAUGGAAGGGCUGAUGAGAAACACUCUGAAUCAGGUCCCAAAGACAGGGAUAUAUGGAUAGAGAGUAUGGAAGGUCAUGACCCAAAGGGAUUGUGGUUAUGAAGGCAGGUGGGAAGGUUGGAGAUGGCAGCUCUUAGGAACAUAUUACUGGCCAUGAAUACCCUUGUUAUUAACUUUUUCAACCCAAAGUGAAAUUUAGGAGGUCCUUAUUCAUCUACCACAAUUUCUGAACAAUCUAUAUCAGUGAAGGUGAACCUAUGGAACGGGUGCCAAAAAUGGCACACAGAAUGCUUUACUAGAAAGGCAGAGGGACUUGGGUGGAGCUGUUCCUCUCCCCCUCUCCACUGAGUCUGAUGACAUUUUUUCACAUUCUCACUCUUCUGUCCAGCAGCCCAAUGGGAGUGCACAGGCAGCAGAGCUGGAGGGGAGCAGAGUGUUCAGGUCACUCUCUUCAUUUGUGCUAAGGACAUUCCUCACUUUACCCACCCCUCCACUCAGCAGCCCAAUGGGAGUGCUUCCUCCUUGCCCUAUGUGGGGUAAGGGGGUGGUUGUGCCUAGCACUUGAUUGGGAGGAGGGGAACAGCAUAAGGUCUCUGAGGGUGGCGCAGUUUUGGGGGUGAGGUCAGGGUAGGGCCUGGCACUCUGUCUCUAAAAGGUUCACUAUCACUGAUCUAUAUCAACAGUUAGCCACUGUCCAUUCAUUCUCAACACCUCUCCAGCCCCUUCCAAACCCAGGCAUCCACCCUUUUUUCUGCUGGAUCAAUCUCAGCAAAAGAUCUGUGCCCCCUGGAAGCUACUGGAGAUCCUUCUCCUUCCUCAUUGGUUCCAUAUGCUAGAGAUCCUGUCCCUUCUUCCCUUUGCUUUUCCCACUUUAGAAAUGUUCCUCAAAUGUUCAGAGGGGCCCCUGAGGGAGACAGGCAGGGAAAAAGAUAGGAGACUUCUUCAAUAAAUGAGCUCCUUAUAUUUCUUGAUAUAAUUUUAAUAGUAUUAUUAGUACAGUUUUGUACCUCCCUUUCCCAUUGGGGCUGGUUGCCUUGGUUGCUCAACAAACACAUUUAGGUCCAGCUCUAGCAUAUAUCACUUAAAAAAAAAAAAUCCUUACCUUCCAUCUUAGAAUCAGUAUUGGUUCCAGGACAGAAGAGGAGUAAGGGCUAGACAGUGGGGGUAAGUGACUUGUCUAGGGUCACACAGCUAGGAAGUGUCUGAGGCCACAUUAGAACCCAGGACCUCUUAGUCUCUAGGCCUGGAUUUCAAUCCACUGAGCCACCUCACUGCCCCCACAUAUAUCAUCACUUCUUAAGUUAUCUCCUCAACAGCGACUAUGCUAACCAAAGGGCUUAAAUCUUUAAACCCUGGAACUUAUUCCCCAGUGUCUGGGUAGAUGAUUGCCUCAGUCUCCUACUCUAUCUAGGCCUAGCUCUAGUUAUGCUUCACUUCCCUCUUCCUGGUUAUUUUCUCAAUUGCUGCCACACCUUCAUGAGUAUCCUCCUCUCUCCCACCCUCCAAGGAUUCAGUAGAAAGAGGAUCAAAUAAAUUCUCUCGGUUGGUCCUGGAAAGAGUUAAGGCUACUACCUUGUGACUCUACUCAUCAUCCCUAUAAUUUUCCAAAACAAAAUUCCCCUCCAUGGCUACCACUGUCCUCUAUAUGUUGUCUUCUGUAAAUUCCUUGAGAGCAGGGCCUGUCUUUAUAUCCUUAGAGCUUGGCACAUAGCAAACAUUUUGUUCAUUCAUUUACUCUGGGUAAAACAAUGUUGGGGGCUAAAUUAGGAAACUAAUUACGAUGCAUCAUACUGUGUUUUAUGAGAUAUUUUCUACAUUCCAAACAACCAAUGUAUAAAUAUUUCUAAUUCAAUCAAUGUAUAAUUUUCAAUUAUAGAAUCAGAACCUGGGCUGGAAAGGAUUUUAGAAAUCAAUUAGUACAACCGAAACUAAAGCUUAGAGAUGAAUCCCUUCUAGAAGGGGUUGUGCACCUUCCCCUUGAAGUCUUAUAGUGAUGGGGCACCCACUACUUCCUUGAGAUGACCAUCCAUUUCACUUUUGGCCAGCUCUAAGUUGUAAGGAUGCUUCUCCUCCCCGAAACAAAAUCUACCUCUUAACUUCCACUCAUUGUUCUUAGUUUUGCCUUUUGGUACGAACUAAAAAUCCUUUACAUGAUAGCUCUUUAUACAUUUGAAUACAGCUCUUGUGUCUUGACUAAGUCCUUUCUUUUCAAGGCUAAAUGGCACCACUCCCUUCAUUCAAUCCUCAUAGGGCACAAUCUUCAGUCCAUUAGUCAUCCUGGGUAUCCUCCUGUACCUCCGCCUCUAGUUGUCCUCAUUGAGGACUAGUCAAUGUCCUUCCCACUGUGGCAUUCAGAUCUGAGCACAGAUGUGAUCUGACUGGGGGAAAAAGCCUCAAGACUAACAUCACCUCCUCCUACAUCCUAGACAUUCUGCCUCCCUCAAUGUGAUCCAAGGUCAAGUUUGCCUCUUUACGUUGCUAUAAUACACUGAUAACUCAAAGAUAUAUAGCAACAUUUUAUAUCUUCCUUCCCACAUUUCUAGACAUCAAGCUAACUCAAUCCCUUAUAUUAAUAGUGUUCUCAUUUGCUGUUUGCAUCUGGUAUUUUCCAGAGAGGUUGCAUAUAUUCAAGAAAAUGGUCUUUUGGUAGGCUGAGUCAUUUUUUCCCCAUUGACAUAUACAGUGUCUCCAAAGUCUUAGCAUAGUUUUAAGCUUUAAAUAGCUUAAAAUAUUGAUAGCUAAAAGCUGAAGCCUUUAAUAGUUUAAACACUACACAAAGACUUUUGGGACACAUUAUACAAUACUCUCUAAGAUGUUUUUCAUUUUCCAAUGAAUGAAUUUUCAAUUGUCAGCAAUCUCUAAUGCUAUCCACUUAAGUUCUUUAGGUUUUGAACCUUUGCUUACUUAUUAAAACUUCUUUGGGUGAAUCCUGAGGCAGCUAGGUGGUACAGUAGAUAGAAUGUUGGUCUUAGCUUUAGGAAGAUCUGAGUUCAAAUUCUGCCUCAAACAAGCAAAUAAAAUCCUUACCUUCCCUUAGAAUCAAUAUUGGUAUUGGUUCUAAGGCAGAAAAGCUUUAGGCAAUGGGGUUAAGUGACUUGCCCAGGGUUACACAGCUAAGAAGUCUCUGAGGCCAUAUUUGAACCCAGGACCUCCUAUCUCUAGGCCUGGCUCUCAAUCCAUUGAGUCACCCAGCUGCCCUCCAAACAAUUGUUAACUGUGUAAUCCUGGACAAGUCACAAAUACUCCCUCAGCCAUAGUUUCCUUUUCUAUAAAAUGGAUAUAAUAGAGGGAAGCUGAGUGGUUCAGUGGAUUGGGAGGCAAGCCUAGAGACUGGAGGUCAUGGGUUCAAAUCUGACCUCAGACACUUCCCAGCUGUGUGACCCUGGCAAGUCGCUUCACCCCCAUUGCCUAGCCCUUACCGCUCUUCUGCAGUGAAACCAAUACAUAGUAUUGAUUCUGGGAGAUGAUAAAAGCACAUACCUCAUAGAGCUUUUAUGAGGACCAAAUGAGACAGAGUAUAGAAAGCAUUUAAAAAGUCUUAAAGACUUUUAUUUCAAUUUUCAAUGCUAUUUCAAUGCUAGCUACUCCUAGCUAUUAGAUGAAAAGAUUUUCUGGUCAUUCAAACAUCCCCUUGAUUUCUCAGUUUUGUAAAUCUGCAUUUUCAGAUAUUGUAUGUCUGAAAAACUGAGCUGACCUGUACUUUUUUUCUGGCCAUAGCACUCCUUGUAUCUUCCUUGGCUCAGCAAGUCAUCACAAGCUCUUGAGUCAGUCUUGUGAACUUGGUUCCAAAGUCUUUGUAUUACCUUCUUCUCAGGAGCCAUAACUACGGCUGAUUUCUGGUCCUGAAUCUUUGUCCUACCUGUGGGUGAUCUCCUAUGUUUCCUCUAUUAAGAUGUGGGUCCUUUCAUCCACCUAUCUGACCGCUUGAAAGUAUAGAGUUUGGAUCUGAGUCAAUGACUCCCUAUCUUUAAGUCCCAAAGGCUUGGAGCCAUUUCCCAAAAGGAUUUCUAAAAGCCUCUAAAACUGCCAGUAUCUUUUCUAAGAAGACAGAAGUGUGCUGGAAUGUGGAAUUCUGGGUUUCCAUCCCGGAUGCCCAUCUAAUGAGCUUGGUGACUCAUGGCGAGAGCAGCUUCAGUUUUCAGGAGUGUCAGUUGUCUUUCUGUUAAUUAAUUAAGGGGAUCAGUGACUGGCUAGGUCAGAUCCAAUACUGAGGACACAGCCUGGUAGAAUAAUAAUAGGUCACACUCAUAGUAGUUGAGGUUUACAAAAUAUUUUCCCAACAACCUCGUGAGGGAGGGAGGAUCAGUAUUAUUCCCUACAUUUUACAGAUGAGUUCAUUUUGAAGUUCAGGGAGGUUGAGUAAUUUGCCUUAGGUCACACAGCAAAUUAAUAUCAAAGCUGGAAUCCCAGCUCAGGUUCUCAUGACCCAAAGUGUAGCAUUCUUUCCACAACAGCAUGCUACCUGAUUAACAUGAUUAUAACAUAGUGAGCGAUUAAAGGGAUUAGAAUGGGGCCCAACUCAUAUCUAUGCCCCAAGUACAAUUCAAAUUAUAAUAAUAUAACCAUAAUAGUCUAAUAUAUAUGACAGCCUUUAAGUUUUGGUUCCCAUUUCUCCACUCUGCUGCAUCAUCCUCAUUAGUGAGUGCUUUUAUUGGUGUGGAGAAUUCUUAGUGUGAAAACUCCUUCCAUUGAUAGAUAAAUAACUUACUGUCUUAAAAGACUGACCGGAAACAUUGAAAGGUUAAGCAACUUGCCUAUAUUCAUAUUGCUCAAAUACAUCAGAGGCAGAGUUUAAACUCAAGUUUUUUCUUAUUCCAAAGCCAGAUCCUCUCUCCAGUCCUUCCAGUAGCCUAAUAUACGGCGAAUACCCCAGCCAGAUGUCUAUUUCUCCUUUAUAUACAGACACACUUUACUACCAAAUUAGGGAUGAGAGGAUGAGGGCGAUUUUUAAUUUUUCUUUUUAAAUUACUUGAUGCUUUCACUUCUUCUUUCUCCUAAGACAAUGCCUAUUUCUUGGUAUUUUAUGUUUUGAGUUUUCUCAUUAUUCUGAUUGUUCUUGUUUGGAUCACACUUCUAAAACACAGCAUUCAAAGCUUAAUGAAAUUAUCCCAGAAGUCACUCUUUCAUCUAUCCAAAAAUCUUCAGUGAUUCCCUACUGCUUAAUGAUUACAUUAGAAAAUCUGUUUCUCAUUUACUAAUUACAAUUUUAUUUGGUUUGAACCAUGCACUUUUUUA